GGUAAUUCUCAUUCCUGGGCUACCAUACGCUCUCAAAGGCAACGCAACCAACCUGGCCAUUUUCAAUGUAAAAAUAUUUGACCCAUAUAUUUGACCUUGUAACUUUCAAAAAUGCUAUAAAACCUGUACAUGGGGGGUACUGUUUUACUCGGGAGACAUCGCCGAACACAAAUAUUAGUGUUUAAAAACUGGAAAACGUAUCACAACAAUUAUAUCAUCAGUAAAACUGCUGUUUGUGUGUGAAAAAUGCAAAAAAAGUAACUUUCACUGACAAUAUCAUCGUUGUGAUAUGUUUU